rnacentral:lncRNA from 1 species
CACAAAAAAUUUCAAUCAAUUUGGAUUUGUGGUUUAGGAGUUAUGGAAUUUUGAAUGUUGAAAAAAAAAAAAAACAAUGAAACAAGCAUGGUGAACAUGUGAAGCAUAUGGAAAUAAAUUCUAAAGCAAAAAGGAGAAUUGCUUGGGCGAAGGAUCGAAGGAGGUUCCAUUUUAAAAAGUAGCGCGCGCUACUGUAGCUAACACUAAU